rnacentral:tRNA from 2 species
GCCGGGAUGGCGGAAGUGGUAGACGCACAGGACUUAAAAUCCUGUGGGAAUUAAUUCCCGUGCCGGUUCGAGUCCGGCUCUCGGUACUA